rnacentral:lncRNA from 1 species
UGUAGAAUUAGUUAUUUUUAAAAUGUAGAUUUGUAGUGUAUAAUAUAAACAGGGAUAGAUAAUUGCUGAAAAAGUGGUUCAGUAGGUAGAAUAGAUGAAUAGUCAGAAAAAGUAGUUAUCAUCUAUAGUAUAGGAGUUGAUAUCUCGGGAUAGUAUAAGGAGGAUGGAAAAGAGGAAAAAAAUGCCAGACUAUGAUAGUUAUGAGCCAGGGUAAGUUUGGUGCUAUCUCUUUUUCUUAGUUUUCUUGUUUCUUUUGUGUUAGUGUUGAUUCUAGUGAAGAGAAUCGAUUUAAUGAAUCAAUGUUUGAUUUACGAAGUUAUUUAUGGAUCACUAUUUAUCAAUUGUUGUGAAAGAUUGAUGAUAUAUGAAAGUUUUCAGUCACUAUUUAUCGCAAGGUUUUGAGUUCAGUGAAGAGGAAUUAUAAUCGAAGGAAUUGUAUCGAAUAGAUUUGGUGGAUUGAAAGUUCAUUCCAGGAUUUGGGUUAUGCUUGUGUGUUCGUGAAUUACACUAGGUAUUGAAAUUGAUGUC